CGAGGCGCAGCGUGACGGCGGCGUGCAGCCCCACGGCCGGGCUGUAGCGCGUGAGCUCCAGGAACACAGCGCGGCUCCUGCGCAGAGGGGUCUGGCUGGACUAAAGGCAAAACUAAAGCCCAGAAGACAGACCAGUGCACCGGAUGCCCGUACCGCGUGAUGGCCAGGAAGGCCCGGCUGUGCAGCUCCUGCUUGAUGGCGCUUUGCAGACGUGUGUAGGGCUCCCUGAGGCCAGAGAUCUGCUUGUGUCUCCAGGAGCCAGUGACCACCGAGGCUGUGCCACUGCAUCGGGCCACCAUGCUGAUAUGCCCGGUCCCAGAGCUGCUAGAGAAGAGGUACAGAGGCAGCGAAGACACGUUGAGGGGGAGGACGAGACCAACUGCGAGACGCCGAGUCCCGGGCUCUCAGGACGCUCUCCC
rnacentral:lncRNA from 1 species